rnacentral:lncRNA from 1 species
GAUGGAAUAUGGUAGCAAAAAAGCUGGGUACUCCCAAUAACUUGACAUUUUUUAUUCUUUUCCUGCAGGUAUCAAUGGUGAGCAGAAGAGGAGCAGGGAAUGAUGAAAGACCACACAUUCUCCAAAAGUAACCCUAUGCAAGUUGCCAAUCUUCUCUAAACAACACUCUUCCUCAUCUAUAAAGUAAAUAUUAAUACCUACCUGAAGGUGGCAGAGAGAGUUAACUGAGAUAAUUUGGUUAAUGAGCCUGAAAUCUAGUCAACACUUACUAAAGCUCUCGGGUGAAAUCUAAGAUGGGUCCAAUGACUUUCUCAAGUUUCAGAUAAAAAGUUUCUGGAUACUUUUAGUCAUGAAGCCAAUCUUCUUACAGUAAUGAAGACAUCCUUUCUGGGAUAUCCCGUCCUUUCUGGGAUGUCUAGUCAAGGUGGAGUAAACAUAUUCCACUCUGUCUCUCUCCAUGAAGGAAGUUAAAACCCUGGAUGGAAUGUAUGUAGCAUUUCUCUGAGGAGCCUGUAAAGUAAGUAGCAGCAGGUAGAUUAAGGAAAGAAACCAGAACCUGAAGUACUACUGAACCACUUUUCCCCUCUGGCAUCUCCUGCUGUAGGACCGAGACAGCUGGAAAACAGGAACUAUACAUCAGGUACAGACAAAAUGAACUCCAAGAAAACCCACUUAAUUUUAGUCUAAAGAAGGAGAAAGGGGGCCUCAUGGGAUCAAAGAGAAUUUAUGUUUUCUACUGCUCUAUCUCCCAGGAAAUUCUAUGGCAGUGGUGGUGACAAUUGCAGUGGUGGCUGGUCAGGUAUCCAAAGCUCCAAGAAAGGAGAGUCCUUACGUAUGACCAGAGAAACUGAAAGAAGUUCCUGCUGCUUUUUUCCCCUCUCUCUAUCCUCUUGCCGCUCGGCAUUGGAGGCAGAAAGAGCUGGCCCCUUACUCUGGCCCAUGGUAGCCUUCAGUUUGCUGAGGGCUUGUAUGUUUUUGCUCACUUGUUUUUCUACAAUAUUCUUCGGCUACAACG